AUAUAACAAAAAUAGAUCGAGAGAAGUAAUGAUUAAUAAACAAGAGUUCCAGCGGGACAUUUAUUAGUUAUUGCGCUAAUCAGCUACUCAGUGUUGU